rnacentral:rRNA from 1 species
GACGAACGCUGGCGGCGUGCUUAACACAUGCAAGUCGAACGGAAAGGCCUCUUUCGGGGGGUACUCGAGUGGCGAACGGGUGAGUAACACGUGAGUAACCUGCCCUUGACUUUGGGAUAACUUCAGGAAACUGGGGCUAAUACCGGAUAGGAGCUCCUGCUGCAUGGUGGGGGUUGGAAAGUUUCGGCGGUUGGGGAUGGACUCGCGGCGUAUCGGCUUGUUGGUGGGGUAGUGGCUUACCAAGGCUUUGACGGGUAGCCGGCCUGAGAGGGUGACCGGCCACAUUGGGACUGAGAUGCGGCCCAGACUCCUACGGGAGGCAGCAGGGGGGAAUAUUGCACAAUGGGUGGAAGCCUGAUGCAGCAACGCCGUGUGCGGGAUGACGGCCUUCGGGUUGUAAACCGCUUUCGCUCAUGACGAAGCUUUGUGUGACGGUAGUGGGUAAAGAAGCACCGGCUAACUACGUG